AACGCAACUUGCGCUCCCGGGAUAUGCCUGGGAGCAUGCUUUCUUGAGCGUCGGUUCUAUCAUCAUCUCACUUAUCUUUUUGUUAAGAUGAGUGGAAAAUGAGCUUUCGAACUUUUCGAAGGCUUGAAAUCUCUGAUUGAGCUUCGUUUCCUGACCUGCACUAUUCAGUGGGCAAACAAAGGCUCUGUUACGUGGAUAAUUUCACCUUACGGUGUAUCCUAUACGUCGCAGCGGCCGCACAUUGAGCAGUUGGAGAAACUAACUCACAAGCGAAUAACGUUGUUAACUUAAACACUUAACAAUCUUGUUCAACUUAUUCUUCUUGAAUAUUUAGACCUCAAGUAAAGUAAGAUUACCCGCUGAACUUAA
rnacentral:misc_RNA from 1 species